rnacentral:rRNA from 1 species
UACGUAGGGGGCAAGCGUUGUCCGGAAUCAUUGGGCGUAAAGCGCGUGUAGGCGGCCCGAUAAGUCCGCUGUGAAAGUCCAGGGCUCAACCCUGGAAUGCCGGUGGAUACUGUCGGGCUAGAGUCCGGAAGAGGCGAGUGGAAUUCCUGGUGUAGCGGUGAAAUGCGCAGAUAUCAGGAGGAACACCAAUGGCGAAGGCAGCUCGCUGGGACGUGACUGACGCUGAGACGCGAAAGCGUGGGGAGCGAACAGG